AUUGAACGCUGGCGGCAGGCCUAACACAUGCAAGUCGAACGAGUGGCGGACGGGUGAGUAAUGUCUGGGAAACUGCCUGAUGGAGGGGGAUAACUACUGGAAACGGUAGCUAAUACCGCAUACCAUCGGAUGUGCCCAGAUGGGAUUAGCUAGUAGGUGGGGUAAAGGCUCACCUAGGCGACGAUCCCUAGCUGGUCUGAGAGGAUGACCAGCCACACUGGAACGGGGAAACGGUCCAGACUCCUACGGGAGGCAGCAGUGGGGAAUAUUGCACAAUGGUGGAUAGCCUGAUGCAGCCAUGCCGCGUGUAUGAAGAAGGCAUUCGGGUUGUAAAGUACUUUCAGCGGGGAGGCGUUACCCGCAGAAGAAGCACCGGCUAACUCCGUGCCAGCAGCCGCGGUAAUUC
rnacentral:rRNA from 1 species